rnacentral:ncRNA from 1 species
UUCACGGAGAGUUUGAUCCUGGCUCAGGACGAACGCUGGCGGCGUGCUUAACACAUGCAAGUCGAACGAUGAACCACUUCGGUGGGGAUUAGUGGCGAACGGGUGAGUAACACGUGGGCAAUCUGCCCUGCACUCGUGGGACAAGCCC